rfam:Neurospora crassa OR74A linkage group VI, whole genome shotgun sequence.
GGCUCAAUGGUCUAGUGGUAUGAUUCGCGCUUCGGGUUUAAUCACCCUCAUGGUAUCCCAUGAAUGUGCGAGGUCCCGGGUUCAAAUCCCGGUUGAGCCC